UCGAACCCAGGGCUUCACAUGCACAAGAAGAGUGCUCUCCUGCUGAGCCACGACCCCAGCCCCCUUCCUAUUCUUAGUAAGAGUAAAACUGACCGUGACAGCCGACCAUGAGUGACACAGACCGUGGAACCUAGAGCUCCAUGUGUUCUGUAACUCUCACCCUCACAACCCUGUCAAGUGCGUCCACAGAUCGGGUUCACCUGCAGAGGGCAAGGCCCCGGUUCACCCAGAUGGAGACCACGCCUCCUCCUGCCUUAAGCUUCAAACAACUCAGAAAGGCAAGAAUUGUCAUUGUCUUUCUUCUGCAGAUGAAAGGAAAGGGCCCAGAGAGGUCACCCAGCUUGUUUAUUAUCACACAGCUGUGGCUUGACCUGCGGCUGAACGGGUCACAUCCAGCCCUGCCUUUAAAACAAGAUUUUUCUGAUUCCUUUCUGAUCUUAAAAUGUGGGAGCCCUCACUGUUCCCAGUCCCCACCUGCUCUGGGCCCGUGUUGUCUUUCCCUGGAAAAACUGCCCACCCGCCCCCAGCUAGAUGCGCAAAACCUCGGAGGUAUUUUGGUUCCUCUGCAGCCUCCCUCCCUCCCUCCCUCCUGGCUGCGCGGCUCCGGCUGACUCACUCGCAGCCUCGGGAGGGACACGGGAGGGACGCAGCCGGGUUUGGGGUUCUCUCCUCCUUACCCCUCAGGGGCCAGCAGAGCCCAUCUCCCACCCAGAACAUCACCCCGACGCGGUCACAGGCAGAACAGAGGGACAGACGCGCAGGAUCUGAGAACCGGGCGGCCCCCUGAGAGGACCCCAGGGGGGCUCUGAGCUCCGUCCCUGCCUCUGCCCCCGCAGCCAGCCUCGGGCCGCUGGAACCCUGUGUGGGACACACGCAGCCCAGGCAGGAGACACAGGACAGCGACAGGAUUCCAGGGACGGAGAGAAAGUCUCCCAGCACCGGCGUCUGCACCUCCCGGACCGCAGCCCCACGUGCGGGUGGCGCAUGCACCCACUUACCCGAGCUGGUGGCCCUGGCUGGGGACACCUCAUGAGGAAACAAACGAGGAAGAGAAUGAGCUGCCUAGAUCUGGAAUGGUGGUCCCAGACAAUACCCCCAACGUCAAUUGGGAGCUCUUCCUUCUGUUCUGCAAUUGCAUGAUGCACCCCUCAGAGGUCCUCACAUGCUUCCUCAGGGCCUUUGCACAUGCUGUGCCUGUUACCUGGGGACCCUUCUUCCCCACACAUGGCUAUAGGCUCCAGCCACAGCUCAGACUUCUCUGUCUACCUCCAACCUGGAGCCAGCCUGUGGUACAGGUUCAAGGUCACCACAGACCUUCAGAGGCUGAGCAGGACUCCUCUCAGCUAGGCAGGCACACUUCCUAGGGCAGGACCCGCGCUUCAGCUAAGCCCUGGGGGACGCCCUGGUCUGCAAAGGAAGCUACACGAUCGAGGAACCAAUGAAUCAAUCCGAGGAGAGCAAGACCCUAAACCACCGCAGACCACGGAAUAACAGUCCGAAGUCCUGGCGACCCCCGAGACCCAGAGAGCUCAGGUUUUCCCUCAACCUGUCAUAAAACGCGAGGCGCUCGUUUAAGGCUGUGUCUUCAGACCUUACUUUAAAUGCAUCGCAUAUGUUAGCCUGA